UUUGUCUUGUGAGGUUCCUGGGUAAGACUUUUUUUUUUUUUUUUAAACAAGAAAUUUAGGGUUGCUAUAUACUAAGGGGUUUACUUAUCUAAGUCUCAGUUACUAUGCCAUUGUAGCUGACCUGUCUUCUGUAAUCCUCUGAGGUCAGAAACUGCAGUUUCUGGCACUUAGCACCUCAUCCUAAAAUAGCAGGAGAUUAAGUAAAGGAUUAAUUGCUAGAGCCUUUUCCCUAUUGUCCUGAUGCCUCUUGCUUGUCCAGCUAGGGUGGAGGUUUGGAGCAAUAAAUUUCUAUUGAACCAGGAUUAGAGAAUAACACUCACAGAAGGGAAAAACCUUUACAUAAGCGAAUAUGCAUAAUCUCACAUACGUUCGUAUACAGAGUCAUGCAUGCUCAUUUUUUCAUUUAUACAUUUCCAUUCAAACCCAGUUGGGCCCCGAAUGCUUGCAUUCUCAGAAUUAUAUACUUACACACACAUGCAUACAUUCUCAAACAAUUACAUACUUAAACACACAUCUAACUUACAUAUGCAUAUGGAGCAAAAGACCACACACCAGUGCAGAAAGAAUUCACUCAUUCUGGAUGAAAAAUGAUCUCUAGUCCUUAUUACAUAGAGAAAGAAAAGGCUUCUACCCUUUUAAUGCUAAGUGAAUUAAACCCAUGUUUGUAAGAAAAAAAGCUUUGUUUCUUUUAAUAAGACUAAACCCGCCUCGUCCUUACCAUGGGAUCUAUUCUGACCCACGGUAAGGAGAAGCCUGCCUGCUCCUUCUCUCUGCAGCAUCUUCUCUUUUCCUCUUUCCCUCUGCAUUCUGCACAUUGCUCUCUUAGUAUUUUAUGUUACCUAUAACUUCUAAGUUAUUCCACUCUGCAUUCUCCUUCUAAUCUAUAAGUGUUCUGUCUAAAAAACGUCUCCUCAGCUCAGUUCCUCCCUCAGCUCUCUUCUCACCUCCGUUCGUCUCACCUCAGUCCCUCAGUUCUGACUCUUCUCUUGUCCUCAGCCCUUAAACAUCUUUCAGAAUACAUGAUCACAUGUUAAAAAGUUCAUCAAAAGUUCACACACAAAAUAAAUCAUAAAUUGAAAUAGAAGUUUACAACAGAGAAUGUUUCCCUGCAUAUCCAUUAGGAGUAAUUAUCUGGCUAAACAUCCAUCACCUGUCUCAGCUCCACAGGUUCACUGAAGGGUUAAAACCAUCACUAAGUUAUCAGUGAAGUUUUGCAUAGAUAAACCGAGUCAAUAUUUUAUCUUCUGUCCUAGCACCUAUAAUAAAUUGUUAGUUCCCUUUUAUGACCUUUGGUUAAUUGUUUUACAACCUCUUGGAAAGUGCUCCGAGAAGGAGCAAGUCUGGUUACUGAGAGCAAUUAACUGGUGACACUUGGGAAACUGACAGAGUUCUCAUCACAGUUUUGACUAUCAGAAAAGGACCUAAUAGCAGUCCCACUAUAAAUGAACUUAAUAAUCACUGAUAUAAUUUUAGGAAUUCUUACAGGGUCAUUAUAAAGAGUUAACUCAUCUAUUUAUCUAUACAGCUUCACUAUAAGACAAUACAUCUUCGUGGAUCUGCAGAGAUCUGCUCCAAAUGGGUGUGCUACUACUUAGUGAUUAUUAUAUAUGUUUAAUAAUAACAGGAAAAUCAUGUUAGUAGCAGGACUCUUUCCUAAAAUGAAUCCCUUACAGCCUUGCUUAAUAAGGGCGCACCUGUCACAGAUUAUAUAAUAAUCAGAAGCAGACCAUUUCAGGAUGACCACCUGCUGGUUAUUAGCUUGUCCCAUUAUGGUUCCUGACAGUGUGCCAUUGUGUAGAUUCACUGAAGUCUGUUUUCCCGUUUUCUGUGUGUAUGUAUUUUCAGGCUGCAUUUUUAGAGGUCUGUUCAGAUAUGGACAUAGUGUUGAUCCCUGUUUGAAGUAAGUAAUCAACUUUCCUGAACAUUCUGCAAUAACUGAAAACCAUAAAGUAUGAAAAAUAGAUCGAGGUUGAUUCCAUGAUUCCCUAAACCAAGUAUCAAAGUCUUAGGCACAUAAAUAAGUGUGUAUAUCACAUGCCUGUCUAUGGGAUCCCAUGUUUCAUAAAAAUGGAAUCACUUUUUGAAUGAAUAUUAUCAGAGUCGUAUCCUAGUGUUGUUCACUUUUUCAAUGCCUGCUGACUUACCUCUCUUAGUACUCUAUCAGAGCUGAGAAAAAACCAAAAACCAAACAAACCUCUGCUAUUAUGGAAUUCUGUAGUGGUUGUUUCUGCAUCUGGCAAGUUUUUGUUCAUAGUGAACAUGGCAUGAAUAUGUUCCCAUGGCUGAAAAUGAACUUUGUUAGUUAUCACCUGGCAUUGUGGUCACUUCGUUCUGGUCACUUCCUUAUCAGUGUGCUGUUAGAAGCAGUCUUCCUGCAUGUGUCCUUGGAUCCUUCUUGCGUGUGUGUCUGGCUGGCAUGAGACAUGUGUGUGCCAUGUAAAUAGAACCUGUGGCUCUCAGUCUCUGAUGCCUGAAAGAUUCUAACCGUGCUCAUGGGCGACACCUCACACACUCAGUUGCUUACUCUUUACAGGCAAAAUGGCGAAGGCCUUGUGUCCCACUGUCACCUUACUUCACUUUUCUUGUCACCAGUGUGGUUGAACACGUUUCCAGUAUUUUUUGUCACCAGAUUUUCUGAUGUCACUUUUUCAAGUGACAUCCUUUCAGAUGCUAGAGAAUCUUCAUGCUUUCUUUUCAUUCUCUCCUCUCAGGUUAGACUUUUAUUUUGUUCCCUGUUGGAACAUUUGGCCUGCCCAUUCAUCCUUGUGAGAUAAGUGGCUUCAUAUGAGAGAAUUCUUUCUUGAAGCUUAUUUAUAUUAGAAUGUUGUAUACCUGUCCUCCUUAAUUACCUUUUUUUAUUAUAUUUACAUUCAUCAAGCCUGCCUCCACUGAAAUCCUCACAAUUCACUGCACAUCUCAUUCUUUCUAUUUCCUUCUCCUUGGUGUGGAAAUUUUCCUUAUGUGUUUCUACAGGCUGUGUCUGCUGGGGAUGGCCUCCUUAGGCUUGCUUUCUCUGACACACCGUUCUUCCUUCAUUAUCAUGAAGGAUAUUUUUAUUGAAUAUAGACUCGUGAACUGAUGGCCAUUUCCUUUAUUUUUUUAUUUUAUUUUUUUUUUUUUUUAGCAUUUCAAACUGUUUUCUUCUACCUGUGGUUAAAUGAAAAAAAAAUCAUAAUUUCAAUGCCUAAUAAUUGCUCAUCUAACUAUAUAGUAUUGUCUUUUAUUUAUUUAUUAGCUACUUUCAGGAUUUUUUUUUCUAUUCUUGGUGUUCAGAAAUAGGAAUUUUUAUAUUUUCAGCUACUUUUUAAAAUAAUUUUACUUUAACUCUUUUUUCUUUUCUGUCUUUACCCCUACAGAGACUCUGUGAUUCUGCUUGUCUUUUAUUAAAAAAAAUUUUUUUAAUGCAUGUUUUGCUUGCAUGUGUGCCAGUGUAUCAGUUGUAUGUCUGGUAUGUGUGGUGGCCAGAAGAGAGUGUCAGAUUCCCUAGAAAUUGAAUUAAAGACGCUUGUGAGCUAUCAAAUCUUUGGGUGCUGGGAAUCAAAUCUGGGUCCUUUGAAUGAACGAACAGUUCAUACUCUUAACCUCUAGCCCUCCCCUUCCUUCUCCCUUUCCUUCACCUCCCCUCCACUCUCUACCUCUCCUCUCCCUUUCCCUCCUCUCCUCUCCUCUCCUUUCCCUCCCCUUCCCUUCUCUCUUCCCUUCUACCUCCCUUCAAGCCUCCUUUUCUCUGUGGCAGUAUCUUCAUUCAUUUCCUUCUCACCUUCCCCCUGCCAACAAGCAUUAGUCUGCAUUUCCUUCUACCUUGAAUUUCAUUAGAGUUGUGCACAAUGUGUUACCCUGCUUCCACAUUUUUACCAGUGGAGUAACACUACAUAUAGCUGUGUGAUGUCUGUGUGACAUGAAGUCCAGCAUUGUUAGGUUGUGGUGUAUUUGUUUCAUGCUAUGUAAAUUCACUUGGGUGUGUAUGCCAUAGCUUAUCUCUUCUUAAAGCCUACUGAUUGAAGUUUUGGUUGCUCAUGCUGAGUAUUCUUAUGCCUACAGGUGUGUACAUGCCAGGGUUUUAAUUGCAGAGUCAAUUUUUAUGGGAAUCUUCAGGGCUUUUCUUGUGUGUGUUAGGGAGUCACCAAAUUACUUGCUAAAGUGGUUUGCCUGUUUUGCAUUGCCUCGAGACUGUAAUCGAAAUCCCUUGUUGCUCACAUUCCCUUUAAUACUUGACCUUGAUCUGGUUUACCUGUCUGGGGAUGAUAAAAAUAGUUUCCCGUGGUUUUCAUUGGCCUGAUUGAUAUUGUGGCUGAAAGCAUUCUUAUAUGUUUGCUUGACAUUUACAGUUUUUCUUUUCAUUUCAGCUGGGUUUAUCUACCCAUUUCUGUUUUUUAACUGAUUGGUAGGCUUCUUACAUUUAUAUCAGAUAUUAUUCACUUGUUAUUUUUAUGUAUUGUAAUUUUACAGGUUUGUGGCUUUUCUUCCUUUUUGUUGCUAGUUCAUAAAAGUAAUAUAUAUGUAUAUGUAUGUAUGUGUGUAUAUAUAUAUAUGAAAUAUAUAUAGUUCUUCCUUGAGUAGC
rnacentral:lncRNA from 1 species